CAGGGCGGUGCCAGAGUCGGGGCUGCUGGGAUCCUGCCGACGACUCCUCCCUGCAUGGCUGACCUUGGUCUCUUUCCUUCCUGACACCUCCGUUUCUCCCCAGGACAAGGGAGGCGGUCACGCAUACUCCUGAAAGCCUGCCAGCUCUCUGCCUGGAGACUUGCCUGUGGUCACAAUGUGUCACCUCCCAGGAGAUGUUCCACUUUUCAAGCAGUGCCCAGAGGAACUGGAAGCAGCCCAAAGAAGGGGAAAGGAGAUGUGUUUGUGUGAAUUUCAAUCAGCAGUUGGUUCAGAGGCAAAAAGAAGCUGCCUUGCGUUCCGAGAGGUCCGUGCGAAGGUGCCUUUCAGCUCUGAGCUGCCGGAGCAUUCUGCAGCCAGCUGGAGUCCUGAGCCUGCCCGUGGCGCCACGGGUUAAAACCACUCCCGUGAAUGUGCUGGCUGGCCUCAGAGCAAACGGGGAUAGUGGGCUGGCUCAUGUUCUGCACUAACGCGUUGGCUUUUUUUCCACUGCAGCCUCCCAUUCUCUGAUAAACCUGAGUUGCUAGGAAAGCUUUAUGUAACACCCGUCGCCGGCCUCAGCUUCUCUGAGCAGCAAGUGCUCUGUUUCCAGAGUUCCCCAUAAACCUGGCAGAACAUCAAAACCUCUGUUUCAUAACAGACCAGAAAUAGGAUUUUCUAAUAACAUUCUGAGGACUGGACUUAUCAUGCAGGGGUCUGGACUUUUAUGAAUUGUUAAUGGUUAACUAAACAGAGACCCCCACGACGCUCAACCUGCUAUCUCUGGGGUUGAGGAGGGGAGGGGAGUCGGAAGAAUGUGGUGUCUCCUGCCACGAUCUAUUGGUUCCUGACCCGUGGCCCCUUUCAGAGAAUUUGCUAAAUAAUCUCAAACAUAUUGAGGCUCUCACUCAUGUUUUAAAAAAAGAACAGGAGGAAAAAAAGCUACCUUCUUCCUGCUCCUUUCUUCAUUCAUGGAGAAUGUGGUUUCCUCUUGUUUUGUUGCCAGGUACACUGACAGUGACAGACGUCACCCCCAGCUUUCCUAUGGGACGGGCAGCGCUCGUCACUGGACACACCUAGUGUGGGCAAUCCAAGUUGCCCUGUGCAACACACAGCUGCACAGCUAACCCUCAGACCCGCGAACUGUGGGCUGUGGAGGGACUGCCGCAGGAAAGAAGGCAGCGUGAGGCGACCUCGCCCUCCUCCCUCACACCCAGGGCUCACCUCCCCGGCCGGGCACCCCGCCUGGUCUGGCCCUGGUUCAGAUUGUGGCAGGGAUAGGAGUUCCCUCCAAAAGGCCAUUUGCAGUCUAUUUAGCUUCUCUCGGGAGACUUCUUCCGGGGUUCCAGCUACAUAUCCCUUUGUUCAAUGUCGUCAGGUCUGCCUUCCUUCGGGUUCUGCCUGGACCGUCUUUCUUCUGCCCUCCGUGUGCCGUCAACACACGAGCAUCACUUCAAAACAAAGGAGCCCCAGGAAAG